ensembl:misc_RNA
UUGGCCUUUUCUAUUUUUAAAUCACUCAGAGAGGGUGGGAUAGGAGGAAGAGUGAAAGAAAAGGUCAG